rnacentral:lncRNA from 1 species
CUGCCGGACCCGCGCGCAACGCCAAGGCCGCGAGGAAUCGGGACAACCGGCUUGAGGUCCAAAAGAUGGUAUUAGAUUCCAUGGAAUUGGAGUACAACUGGUUGUGAACAGCCACGUGGGUACAGGGAUUCGAACCUGAGCCUUCUUAGGAACCAGUACUUUUAGUGACCGGCCCUCUCCUCAGCCCCUUGUUGAAGUCAUGAGCUACAAAACAAGAACUGGUUUUAAUGAGUGUGAUGGCAUGCCUAAAUACACCAAGAAGGAAGAGGAGGAAGAGGAGGAAGAGGAGGAAGAGGAGGAGGAGAAGAAGGAGAAGGAGAAGGAGAAGGAGAAGGAGAAGAAGAAGAAGAAGAAGAAGAAGAAGAAGAAGAAGAAGAAGAAGAAGGCUGAUACCCCAGAUUGUGGGGCAAAUGAAAGGAUACCCACAAUUAGGUGGAUUGGUGCCCCCACAUCAAUGAUGUUUAACCAUAUAUCCUGGUAUCUGUAGGUAGCUACUUCUCACACCCUUCUUUAUUUAUUACACACUUAUUCUUUACUUUUUUUCC